rnacentral:rRNA from 1 species
UGGUUAAAGCAAAUCAUCUUAGCCUGUGGCAGCCUCUGACUGACUGAUCUUGUCUGGGUUUACAAGCUAAGCAGGAUCAGGCCUGUUUUAUACUCAGGUGGGGACCACCAGGGAAUAGCAGGAUUGUUAACGAC